GGUUGUGGCUCAAUGGUAGAGUGCUUACCUAGCACGGUCAAGGUCCUGGGUUUGAUCCUCAGCAUCA
rnacentral:tRNA from 1 species